rnacentral:rRNA from 1 species
UCCCCCCUACGGGACGCAGCAGUGAGGAAUAUUGGUCAAUGGCCGGAAGGCUGAACCAGCCAAGCCGCGUGAAGGACGAAGGUGCCAAGCAUUGUAAACUUCUUUUGUCAAGGGACAAAAUCAGGCUCGAGAGCCUGACCGAGGGUACUUGAAGAAAAAGCAUCGGCUAACUCCGUGCCAGCAGCCGCGGUAAUACGGAGGAUGCGAGCGUUAUCCGGAUUUAUUGGGUUUAAAGGGUGCGUAGGCGGACUGUUAAGUCAGCUGUGAAAGUCCGCGGCUCAACCGUGGAAUUGCAGUUGAAACUG